GGACAGGUCUGGCUUGGUCUUCCCGGUUAAGGAAAUGGCCGUGGAGCUCCAGGAAACCCAUACACCGUUGCCUCAGCGGAAGCCUGGCUGACGAGGCAGGGUAACGAAGUACAGCAGAGCAGGUCUGUGCAGGGUGAGGCUGCCAUGGCGUGCAGCAGUAACUGGCUGUCCGAAGUGAAUGUCGUGCUGGUGAUGGCGUACGGGAACCUGGAUCUGAAAGAGGAGAUUGAUAUUCGACUAUCCAGGGGUGCAGGAUAUCAAAUACGAGCCCCAGCUCCUUGCAAAUGAUGAUGCCAGACUGCUACAGUUAGAGGCCCAGGGAAAUCAAAAUUGCUACAACUAUCUUUACAGGAUAAAAGGUCUGGACGCCAUCCGUGCAUCUGAAAUCCCAUUUCAUACUGAAGGCCGGCAUCCCCAUUCCCUAAUGGGCAAGAAUUUUCGCUCCUACUUGCUAGACCUGCGAAACACCAGUGCUCCUUUCAAGGGUGUGUGUAAGGCCCUCAUUAAUACCCUUCUGGAUGGUUAUGAAACAGCCUGCUAUGGGACAGGGGUCUUUGGCCAGAGUGAGUACCUACGCUAUCAGGAGGCCCUGACUGAGCUGGCCACCACGGUCAAAGCACGAAGUGGGAGCUCUCAGCGACAUCACCAGUCAGCAGCCAAAGACCUUACCCAGUCUCCUGAAGUCUCUCCAACAACCAUCCAGGUUACAAACCUCCCCUCCAAUCAGAAGAGAUAUUUAAUCCUAAAAGUUAAGAACAUGGUUAAGUAG